UACGUAGGGUGCAAGCGUUGUCCGGAAUUAUUGGGCGUAAAGAGCUCGUAGGCGGCUUGUCGCGUCUGCUGUGAAAACCCGAGGCUCAACCCCGGGCUUGCAGUGGGUACGGGCAGGCUAGAGUGCGGUAGGGGAGAUUGGAAUUCCUGGUGUAGCGGUGGAAUGUGCAGAUAUCAGGAGGAACACCGAUGGCGAAGGCAGAUCUCUGGGCCGUAACUGACGCUGAGGAGCGAAAGCAUGGGGAGCGAACAGG
rnacentral:rRNA from 1 species